CCCACAGCCAUGUGCGUAGGAUCCCAAACGAUCUCCAUUAAAUUUGGCACAGAUCUCUAGAAAUGUUAUCACAUGAGUGUGGGACUUGACUUUUCUAGAGAUUUGUGUCAAAUUUAAUGGUGAUCCUUUAGGGUCCUACACACAUGGCUGUGGA
rnacentral:pre_miRNA from 1 species